rnacentral:rRNA from 1 species
AAUGAACGCUGGCGGCGUGCCUAACACAUGCAAGUCGCGCGUGAAAGGGGGGCAACCCCCGAGUAAAGCGGCGAACGGGUGAGUAACACGUGGGUAAUCUGCCUGGGAGCGGGGGAUAACCUGGGGAAACUCGGGCUAAUACCGCAUACGACCGCGGAGUCACGACUUCGCGGGGAAAGCUGGCCUCUACGUGUAAGCCAGCACUCCCAGAGGAGCCCGCGGCUGAUUAGCUAGUGGGUGAGGUAACGGCUCACCAAGGCGACGAUCAGUAGCCGGCCUGAGAGGGUGAUCGGCCACACUGGGACUGAGACACGGCCCAGACUCCUACGGGAGGUAGCAGUAGGGAAUCUUCCGCAAUGGACGAAAGUCUGACGGAGCAACGCCGCGUGAGCGAAGAAGGCCUUCGGGUCGUAAAGCUCUGUUGUCAGGGAAGAACAAGUGCCAGAGUAACUGCUGGCACCUUGACGGUACCUGACCAGAAAGCCACGGCUAACUACGUGCCAGCAGCCGCCGUAACAC